AUUGAACGCUGGCGGCAGGCCUAACACAUGCAAGUCGAACGAGUGGCGGACGGGUGAGUAAUGUCUGGGAAACUGCCUGAUGGAGGGGGAUAACUACUGGAAACGGUAGCUAAUACCGCAUACCAUCAGAUGUGCCCAGAUGGGAUUAGCUAGUCGGGGGGGUACCGGCUCACCUAGGCUACGAUCCCUACCUGGUCUGAGAGGAUGACCAGCCACACUGGGACUGAGACACGGUACAGACUCCUAAGGGAGGCAGCAUUGGGGAAUAUUGCACAAUGGGCGAAAGCCUGAUGCAGCAAGGCCGCGUGUGUGAAGAAGGCCUUCGGGUUGUAAAGCACUUGCAGCGGGGAGGCGUUACCCGCAGAAGAAGCACCGGCUAACUCCGUGCCAGCAGCCGCGGUAAUUC
rnacentral:rRNA from 1 species